CAAUUACUCGAGUCUACCAAUCAUGUUACUUGUCCCAUCCCGACUGGUUGAAGGUGGUGCUUACGCUUGAGCCGCAUCCUACAGCAUUACCAUUGGCCGUCGGCAACCGCUUUGUCAGUUGAUUGGAGAGAGUGGAUGUCCAUCAGGGUCACGCUCCUAGGCAAGGAGAGGAGAAAGGAGGGAAAGACGACUUCCCUCCGUAGGUUAGACGGGCCUGCUGGGAUAGCCUGGGAAGACUUGGAAAGGCGCUGGGCGGGGUUUCGGCGUUCCGCGGAACGCCGGGAAGAAGUCACUUCCAGGUGACGGUUCCGGUUCCGGUGUGGCUGUAGUUGAGUUGCCAUGGACACGCCGUUUUGGGGCGCGGGGUUCCUGCGUUAGGGGCGGCAGCCGUUCUGCAGCAGGCGUGGGCCGUCUUUCCCAGCGUAGGUGAGCGACUUCGGUGCCUCCGUAAGGCCACGGCCAAAUGAAACCGUUCGUGGCGGGAGCGGAGACCGGGCGGAACACUGGCUUACAGGCCUGCUUGCGGCUGCCGCGUCCGGACCGGGCCCACGUGGCCCGGCCCUCCUCUGGCCCCGCCCCCCACGGAAGCAGGGGCCAGGCUUCGGCCCCGUGGCUCCGCUUGUGGUAAAUCAGAGGAACAGGCAUCAGGAACAGAAAUACACAGGAAACGCUGUACAUACGCUGAAGCAGAACUGCAGUUUCCGAAGGCCAGCAUCUGGUCCACAUAGUACUAGAGAAUAUAUUAUUUCCAAAAUCACCUAACUUUUACUCAUGCACUUAUUAUAGUAAGUUGUUUUUGUUCUUUUUUUAAAAAAUAAAUCUCAGCGAUUUGUUCCUGAAAACCUAACUUGUUUAUUGCCUACUCUAAACUAAUUUGGCUUUUGUGUUGCCUGGAAGAGGGAGGAGAAUUUGCAGACUUGUGUUCCGAGGAUCCAGAGAUGCAGAGUAGUGAUGGGAAUAGCAUAUCUCUUACCUAGUGUGUAAUCUUUCUUGGCUUCGGAAGUGUCGUGUUUUUUAGGUGUCAGAUGUUUCAUUAAGUUGAGAACACAUCUGUCAUUAAACAUUAAGAGUAAUCCUUGAGCCGGAAGAACACAAAGCCUGUGUUUUUCAAACUUACUAAGUAGACUUGCUGUGUACAGUAGAGUAUGAUAAGAACAUAUGUGAAAUGUAAGGAUAUGGGAAAGCAUGUUUGUGCAGUUGUCAGGGAACUAAGGAUGGCUUUCAUAGCAUGAUUGAGGGCAAGAAAACAAAUCAUGUAUCUAAACCAAAGAAAUUGGAACAGCGCACCUAAAUUUAAGUUUUUAAUAAAGGAACCAAAAAUAUAAAAUGUGUAUGUUGAACAUACUCAUUUCUGUCUUUGAUUUAAAACCACUCUUGGAGUAUUGGCACCAAACAUCAAUGAUUCAGUUAAAGAAGCAAAGAAAAUAGUAUUCAAAAUGUUUCUUCCAAAGCAUCAAACUGUUACAUAUGAUUUGGAAUUUUGGUUAAGGAAUUCUAUAAUGAAAACAUGCAUGACAAAAAUAUAUUUCAGGAAUAUGUCAGGAAUCUGCACUUAUGUCAAAUGUUUUGAAC
rnacentral:lncRNA from 1 species